GGCUCAGGACGAACGCUGGCGGCGUGCUUAACACAUGCAAGUCGAACGAUGAAGCCCAGCUUGCUGGGUGGAAGAGUGGCGAACGGGUGAGUAACACGUGAGUAACCUGCCCUGAACUCUGGGAUAAGCACUGGAAACGGUGUCUAAUACUGGAUACGACCUAUCACCGCAUGGUGUGUGGGUGGAAAGAUUUAUCGGUUUUGGAUGGACUCGCGGCCUAUCAGCUAGAUGGUGAGGUAAUGGCUCACCAUGGCGACGACGGGUAGCCGGCCUGAGAGGGUGACCGGCCACACUGGGACUGAGACACGGCCCAGACUCCUACGGGAGGCAGCAGUGGGGAAUAUUGCACAAUGGGCGCAAGCCUGAUGCAGCAACGCCGCGUGAGGGAUGACGGCCUUCGGGUUGUAAACCUCUUUUAGUAGGGA
rnacentral:rRNA from 1 species